GAUGAACGCUAGCGGCAGGCUUAAUACAUGCAAGUCGAGGGGCAGCAUGAAUGUAGCAAUACAUUUGAUGGCGACCGGCAAACGGGUGCGGAACACGUACACAACCUUCCGAUAAGUGGGGAAUAGCCCAGAGAAAUUUGGAUUAAUACCCCGUAACAUAAUGAUGUGGCAUCACAUUAUUAUUAUAGCUUCGGCGCUUAUUGAUGGGUGUGCGGCUGAUUAGAUAGUUGGCGGGGUAACGGCCCACCAAGUCUACGAUCAGUAGCUGAUGUGAGAGCAUGAUCAGCCACACGGGCACUGAGACACGGGCCCGACUCCUACGGGAGGCAGCAGUAAGGAAUAUUGGUCAAUGGACGCAAGUCUGAACCAGCCAUGCCGCGUGAAGGAUUAAGGUCCUCUGGAUUGUAAACUUCUUUUAUCUGGGACGAAAAAAGGCUAUUCUUAGUCACUUGACGGUACCAGAUGAAUAAGCACCGGCUAACUCCGUGCCAGCCGCCGCGGUAAAAC
rnacentral:rRNA from 1 species